ensembl:lncRNA novel transcript
GGGCUCAGACAUUAGGAGCAGGCAGUAUCUUUUCUUUUUCUUUUUCUUUCUUUCUUUUUUUUUUUUUUUGACAGGAUGGGCUGGGGUUGGGGGAGGAGGAAGCAAGAAUUAAGCAGAGAAGGCAAGCUCCUUUCUGUUCAUCUAACUCAAAACCCAAGUGACCACCUGGUAAUUACUUCAACAGCAGAGCGACUCAUACAGCCGGCAGUCCACUUUGUUCUUCUAUAGAUCCUGCCUGUGGUGUUGGAUCUAACAGCUUCUUCCCUGACCCAAGAUUAUGAAGGAUUUCUCCUGUGUUCUCUUCUAAAAAUUUUACAUUUAGGAGAGAAAUCUAGAAGUGGAAUUGCUGAGCUGUAGAGUAUGUGAAUCUCUACAACUUUCAACUUUACCAUGUAUUGUCAAAUUGCUCUCCAAAGUGAUGGUACCAAUUAAUGAUACUACCAAUAAGACCUGCACUAUAAAAAAUGGUAGAGGAAGUUCUUCAGUAUGAAAGUGAAUGAUACCAGAUGGAAACUGAGAUCUACAAAAUGAAACAUCACUGGAAAUAGUAAAUACAUGGAGUUUCACCUGCCACCUGGAUCAUUUCCUAUUUUUCUGCAGCCACUUCAGGGCGGGGACCCAGUAUCACGAAGCUGCAAGGUAAAAAGGAUCAAACCUUAACUGCCUACAUGUGCUCACAGGAACAUAAGUGAGUGAGGCUCACCAGCAACCAGGAAGUGAGCUGAGCCUAACAUAUGGGAGAGAUCCUGUCUCAUCUGCAGGGAAGAGCUGCUAUAUAGGAAAGUAUCUGCUCAUUGCUGCCAUGUGGGAAUGCUGGUAUUGCUGGACUUUCUGAUGUUUUAGGAGAAACUGCUGAUCUGUGCAUGAAGUCUGAUAUAUAAAGAUGAUACUAUAUUUAUGUGUCUAUGGAUAAAUAAAUAAUGUCAACUGGU